CUAUUACUAUACCAGGUAGGGAAACCGAGGCACACACAGGUUAGGUAACUUAACCUCAGUCACUCCAAGGCAAGGCUCACAUUUGAACCCAAAUGCUCUAGCACCUGGGCUUUGGUGGUGAUGUUGGCACAGAAGAGGGGGAAGAUCAGGAUGAAGAAGCAAGAGGGGAAGGCCUUGAGUCCACUCUCAGGGGUCUGGGGGGCACACAGGACAUCCCCGCUGUGCCUGGCUGUGAGCCCAUGCUUCUUAAACGUGAAUAGAAUCAAAGCACGGACCCUCCUUUGUGCUGGACACUGUCUUACCACUUGAUUCACAUCUCAGGGUAUGUUUGAUGAUUUCCCUUGCAGAUGAGGGCCCUCACCCAGCGCCAGGAGACGUCUCUGGGCCAGCGUCACCCAGCCAGGAAGGGGCGAGUCAGAGUCUGCCCUCUUGGCUCUCUUGGAUCCCAAACUCCUGGCUCUUUCCUGCCCAGCCAGCUCCCCUCCGGAAGGAAACUCUGCCCAGAAACAUGCCCGCUUGGCACUACUCAGCCUGGGAGGCUUGGUCGGCCCAGAUCCUGUGAACGCCGCCCACAUUGCCCUUCCUCUGGGCCAUAAAGACCCUCUCCUCUCAGCCCUGCCCAGCCCAGGCAGGUGAAACAGUGAGACCGCCCAAGGCCAAGGAUUUAUCUACCACUCUUCUCUGAAUCAGAGGUCUUCUGCAUGGCUGGCGUUCACCAAAGACAAGGCAGCAGCUGGAGAUCAGCCACUGCAGCUCCAGCUCCGUGUAUCUCUCAUUCCGUGAUUCAAGCUGAAGGAGAAGCCACUCUCUGGGACAAGUUACCUGGUGGUUGAUGGCAAACAGCAGGUAACAACUAAAAAUGUACACUCUCUCUUUUUUUUAAAGAAGUGUUUAUAUUUUCAAAAAAUAUUUAUUUUGCCCAGUCUUAGUUGUGGCGUACAAGCUCUCUAGUUUUGACAUGCAAGCUCUUAGUUGUGGCAUGUGGGAUCUAGUUCUCUGAUCAGAGAUCAAACCCUUUCCCAGCCCGGCCCCCCACCCCGUAUUGGGAGCACAGAGUCUUAGUCACUGGACCACCAGAGAAUUCUCCACACUCUCUCUUAAAGCUAUUAACUCAGACUUGGCAUGUGAAUGUCAGGCAUAUCUGCUGAUGCACCAUUGGCUUAAGUAAGUCACAUGUCCCAGUCUGUCAAGAUGGGGAAGGAUAGACCAACUUUUCGGGGGGGGUGGUUGCAGUUUACACAUCCGUGAACAAGAGUGUAUAAGCUUGCUAUAGGGAAGGAAGCCAAUGGUUGGGGAACAGUAGUACAAUCUACCACAAUCUGCUGAAAAUACAGUUGGCUGCAAGUAACAAAAGAAUGCCUGACAAACAGUAGCUUUAAAAAAAAAAAAGGUGGUUUAUUUUUCUCACAAAGCAAGAUCUCAAGUGAUUUCAGAGUUUGGCAACAC